rnacentral:rRNA from 1 species
AUACGUAGGUCCCGAACGUUGCGCGAAAUUACUGGGCGUAAAGAGUCCGUAGGCGGUCUGGUAAGUGGAAGGUGAAAGCCUGGGGCUCAACUCCAGAAUUGCCUUCCAAACUGCCGGACUUGAGGCAGGGAGAGGUCGGCGGAAUUCCCGGUGUAGUGGUGAAAUGCGUAGAUAUCGGGAGGAACACAAGUGGCGAAGGCGGCCGACUGGAACUGUCCUGACGCUGAGGGACGAAAGCCAGGGGAGCGAACCGGAUUAGAUACCCUUGUAGUCC